rnacentral:rRNA from 1 species
GAUGAACGCUGGCGGCGUGCCUAAUACAUGCGAGUCGAGCGAACAGAUAAGGAGCUUGCUCCUUUGACGUUAGCGGCGGACGGGUGAGUAACACGUGGGUAACCUACCUAUAAGACUGGAAUAACUCCGGGAAACCGGGGCUAAUGCCGGAUAACAUUUAGAACCGCAUGGUUCUAAAGUGAAAGAUGGUUUUGCUAUCACUUAUAGAUGGACCCGCGCCGUAUUAGCUAGUUGGUAAGGUAACGGCUUACCAAGGCAACGAUACGUAGCCGACCUGAGAGGGUGAUCGGCCCACCUGGAACUGAGACACGGUCCAGACUCCUACGGGAGGCAGCAGUAGGGAAUCUUCCGCAAUGGGCGAAAGCCUGACGGAGCAACGCCGCGUGAGUGAUGAAGGUCUUCGGAUCGUAAAACUCUGUUAUUAGGGAAGAACAAAUGUGUAAGUAACUGUGCACGUCUUGACGGUACCUAAUCAGAAAGCCACGGCUAACUACGUG